rnacentral:lncRNA from 1 species
AAGAGAGGGAGAGAGGAGAAAAGAGGAACCGUACCAAGAAACAAUAGGAAACCCCCAAAAAAACUGAAAAGAAAAACUCUUCAUUUCAUAUCACAAAAAUAAAAAUAAUAAAAAUAUAAGCAAAACAAAUAAAAAAUAAAAAAUAUCUAAUCUAAUCUUUUAAAAAACCGGAACAAAGCUUAAUCAAAACAAUUCUCUCAAAGCACACUUGAGGACUCGAACUAGGGACCUAGAGACAAACUAACACACAACCAAC